rnacentral:rRNA from 1 species
GAAGUCAGUUUUUAUUUAAUAUACACAUGCAAGUUUCCGCACCCCUGUGAAAACGCCCUAAAAUCCCCAAUAGGGAAUAGGAGCUGGUAUCAGGCACAAAUGCCCUGCCCAAGACACCUAGCCUCGCCACACCCACAAGGGCCCUCAGCAGUGAUUAACAUUGAGUAUAAGCGACAGCUUGACUCAGUUAAAUUAUCUAGAGCCGGCCAAUCUGGUGCCAGCCGCCGCGGUUACACCAGAAGCUCAAAUUGACCUCUAUCGGCGUAAAGCGUGAUUAAAGCCCCCAACCUCCUGGAACCUAAUUAAAACUAAGCUGUGACACGCCUGUUACCUAAGAAGCCCAAAAACGAAAGUUAUUCCAA